AACGAACGCUGGCGGCGUGGAUUAGGCAUGCAAGUCGAACGAGAAAGGGUUCGCAAGGACCCGAGUAAAGUGGCGAAAGGGUGAGUAGUACCUAGGUAACCUGCCCUGAAGCUGGGGAAAACGUUUCUAACGGAACGCUAAUACCCAAUGUGUCCGCGAGAUCGCAUGGUCAUGCGGGUAAACGGUAGCCUCUAUUAAUAAGCUUCCGCUUCAGGAGGGGCCUCGGACCUAUCAGAUAGUUGGCGGGGUAACGGCCCACCAAGUCUGGGACGGGUAGCCGGUCUGAGAGGAUGGUCGGCCACACUGGAACUGAGACACUGUCCAGACUCCUACGGGAGGCUGCAGUCGAGGAUCUUCUGCAAACGGUCGG
rnacentral:rRNA from 1 species